GUCCUGCUAGCUCAGUCAGUAGAGCAUGAGACUCUUAAUCUCAUGAGGUCCUGGGUUCAGGCCCCACAUUGGGCA
rnacentral:tRNA from 1 species